rnacentral:rRNA from 1 species
GGUUCGUCACGUCGGAUGUGAAAAUCUGGGGCUUAACCCCAGACCUGCAUUCGAUACGGGCGAGCUAGAGUGUGGUAGGGGAGACUGGAAUUCCUGGUGUAGCGGUGGAAUGCGCAGAUAUCAGGAGGAACACCAAUGGCGAAGGCAGGUCUCUGGGCCAUUACUGACACUGAGGAGCGAAAGUGUGGGGAGCGAACAGGAUUAGAUACCCUGGUAGUCCACGCCGUAAACGGUGGGCACUAGUUGUGGGAACCUUCCACGGUUUCUGCGACGCAGCUAACGCAUUAAGUGCCCCGCCUGGGGAGUACGAUCGCAAGAUUAAAACUCAAAGGAAUUGACGGGGCCCCGCACAAGCAGCGGAGCAUGCGGCUUAAUUCGACGCAACGCGAAGAACCUUACCAAGGCUUGACAUAUACAGGAAUAUGGCAGAGAUGUCAUAGCCGCAAGGUCUGUAUACAGGUGGUGCAUGGUUGUCGUCAGCUCGUGUCGUGAGAUGUUGGGUUAAGUCCCGCAACGAGCGCAACCCUCGUUCUGUGUUGCCAGCAUUUAGUUGGGGACUCACAGGAGACUGCCGGGGUUAACUCGGAGGAAGGUGGGGAUGACGUCAAAUCAUCAUGCCCCUUAUGUCUUGGGCUGCACGCAUGCUACAAUGGCUGGUACAAAUGGCUGCGAUACCGCAAGGUGGAGCGAAUCCGAAAAAGCCAGUCUCAGUUCGGAUUGGGGUCUGCAACUCGACCCCAUGAAGUCGGAGUUGCUAGUAAUCGUAGAUCAGCAACGCUACGGUGAAUACGUUCCCGGGGCUUGUACACACCGCCCGUCACGUCACGAAAGUCGGUAACACCCGAAGUCAGUGGCCCAACCGUAAGGGGGGAGCUGCCGAAGGUGGGAUCGGUGAUUGGGACGAAGUCGUAACAAGGUAACC